rnacentral:rRNA from 1 species
UGGAAGCGUCUGGAAAGGCGCGCGAUACAGGGUGACAGCCCCGUACACAAAAAUGCACAUGCUGUGAGCUCGAUGAGUAGGGCGGGACACGUGGUAUCCUGUCUGAAUAUGGGGGGACCAUCCUCCAAGGCUAAAUACUCCUGACUGACCGAUAGUGAACCAGUACCGUGAGGGAAAGGCGAAAAGAACCCCGGCGAGGGGAGUGAAAAAGAACCUGAAACCGUGUACGUACAAGCAGUGGGAGCACGCUUAGGCGUGUGACUGCGUACCUUUUGUAUAAUGGGUCAGCGACUUAUAUUCUGUAGCAAGGUUAACCGAAUAGGGGAGCCGAAGGGAAACCGAGUCUUAACUGGGCGUUAAGUUGCAGGGUAUAGACCCGAAACCCGGUGAUCUAGCCAUGGGCAGGUUGAAGGUUGGGUAACACUAACUGGAGGACCGAACCGACUAAUGUUGAAAAAUUAGCGGAUGACUUGUGGCUGGGGGUGAAAGGCCAAUCAAACCGGGAGAUAGCUGGUUCUCCCCGAAAGCUAUUUAGGUAGCGCCUCGUGAAUUCAUCUCCGGGGGUAGAGCACUGUUUCGGCAAGGGGGUCAUCCCGACUUACCAACCCGAUGCAAACUGCGAAUACCGGAGAAUGUUAUCACGGGAGACACACGGCGGGUGCUAACGUCCGUCGUGAAGAGGGAAACAACCCAGACCGCCAGCUAAGGUCCCAAAGUCAUGGUUAAGUGGGAAACGAUGUGGGAAGGCCCAGACAGCCAGGAUGUUGGCUUAGAAGCAGCCAUCAUUUAAAGAAAGCGUAAUAGCUCACUGGUCGAGUCGGCCUGCGCGGAAGAUGUAACGGGGCUAAACCAUGCACCGAAGCUGCGGCAGCGACGCUUAUGCGUUGUUGGGUAGGGGAGCGUUCUGUAAGCCUGUGAAGGUGUGCUGUGAGGCAUGCUGGAGGUAUCAGAAGUGCGAAUGCUGACAUAAGUAACGAUAAAGCGGGUGAAAAGCCCGCUCGCCGGAAGACCAAGGGUUCCUGUCCAACGUUAAUCGGGGCAGGGUGAGUCGACCCCUAAGGCGAGGCCGAAAGGCGUAGUCGAUGGGAAACAGGUUAAUAUUCCUGUACUUGGUGUUACUGCGAAGGGGGGACGGAGAAGGCUAUGUUGGCCGGGCGACGGUUGUCCCGGUUUAAGCGUGUAGGCUGGUUUUCCAGGCAAAUCCGGAAAAUCAAGGCUGAGGCGUGAUGACGAGGCACUACGGUGCUGAAGCAACAAAUGCCCUGCUUCCAGGAAAAGCCUCUAAGCAUCAGGUAACAUCAAAUCGUACCCCAAACCGACACAGGUGGUCAGGUAGAGAAUACCAAGGCGCUUGAGAGAACUCGGGUGAAGGAACUAGGCAAAAUGGUGCCGUAACUUCGGGAGAAGGCACGC